rnacentral:rRNA from 1 species
AUACGGAGGGUGCGAGCGUUAUCCGGAUUUAUUAGGUUUAAAGGGUGUGUAGGCGGGAGCCUAAGUCAGUGGUGAAAUCUCACAGCUUAACUGUGAAACUGCCAUUGAAACUGGGUUUCUUGAGUAUAGUUGAGGUAGGCGGAAUGUGUAAUGUAGCGGUGAAAUGCAUAGAUAUUACACAGAACACCGAUUGCGAAGGCAGCUUACUAAGCUAUUACUGACGCUGAUGCACGAAAGCGUGGGUAGCGAACAGGAUUAGAAACCCUUGUAGUCC